rnacentral:lncRNA from 1 species
CUUUGUCCCCAUAGGUCCUACUUGAGCCAGCCACUGGUACUAGAGCUUAUUCACCAGAUGACCUUUCAGAAGGAUGGUGUCCUGCAGGUACAUUCUAAGAUUGAACUGUAAUUUUUUUUCUUUUUUCUUUUUUUUUGUAACAGGGACUGAACCCAGCAGCACUUAACCACUAAGCUGCAUCACCAGCCCUUUUUAUCUUUUAUUUUGAAACAGGAUCUUGCUAAGUUGUUUAGGUAUUUAUUGAUCCUUUGCCACAUCCAGGGUUAUGAGGAUUUUACCCCCAGGUUUUCUGCUUGUUUAGUUUAGUAGGCUUUGCUCUUACAUUUAGGUAUUUUAUUCACUUUGAGAUAAUUACUGUAUGUAGUGCCAGGUAAGGAUUCAACUUCUUCCUCUUGUAUGUGGCUAUUCCAGAUGCAGUUGUCCCAGCACAAUUUUUUUUUUUUUAAAGACUGUUCUUUCCCAUUGAACGGUCUUGGCAUCCUUGUUGAAUAUCAGUUCAAUGUGAAUGUGUGAGUUUAUUCUUGGAUUCUCAGUUCUUUUCCAUUUGUUUGUGUCUAUCCUUUUGCCAGUACCAACUUGUAGUGUGUUUUAAAAUCAAAGUGUGAUUCUUCCUACUCUGCUUUCCUUUUCCAGGAUUAUUUUGGCUAUACUGGGUUCCUUGAGAUUCCAUAUGAACUUUGGAAUCACCUUCACAAUCUCUAUAAAGAAGUCAGCUGACUUUCUAUAGGGAUUGAGCUGAGUCUGUAGCCCAGUUUGGAGAGUAUUGUCAUCUUAACAUUGUUGUUAAGUCUUUCAAUCCAUGAACAUGGUAUGUUUUCCCAUUUAUUUUAGAUCUUCUUUAAUUUCUCAGCAAUUUUUAAAAAAUUUUUUAGACAAUAAACUUUGCAUUUAUUUUAUUAAAUUUAUUCCUAACUACUUAAUACUUGUUGAUACUAUUGUGAAUGGAAUUUUUCUUAGUCUUAUUUUGGGAUUGGCCAUAUUGUGAGCAUACAACAAUACAGUUGAUUUUUUUUUUUUUCUUUCCAUCCAUUCCUUAGGGUUUUCUGCCUAUAAGAUGGUGUCAUUAGUAAACACGGCUUUUAUUUCCUUUUCAAUCUGGGUGACAUUUAUUUCUUCUUCUUGCCUAAUUGCCCUGAUGAGAACCACUAGCACAGUGUUGAAUAGUCAAGUGGCAAGAACAGAUAGCUUUGGGGUGUGGCUGCCUUCCCAGCUGGUUUGCUAGCUGAAGUCUAAGGGCCUGGCUUUUUGAAACCUCUUCCCUGCCUUUGUUUUUGUGUAUUGCUGCUUGACAGGUCUUCUCCAUUUCCCUCCCUUCCUGGGGAUCUGAUGCACGCCUAUCAAUCUCCAGGGUCUUGUGGUUAGCCACCCACACCGCCAGGCUCUGCGGUUCCUGGACUUUGGUAACCGAGCAGCCGGGUGCUUGUCCGGGGCAGUUUUAUUCCAUCGACUGAAGAUUCUCCUCUCUGGCCCCGACUGGCAUCUUCCUCCCGGUUACCACUCGGAUCUCCUGUCAAGGUCACGGUCUUCCCUCUCACCCGUUGGCACUGCCUGAACUCUGAGUCUGCUGUCAUCAACCUCCUUUUGCUCAGAUUCUUUCUGCUCAUCUUCAUCCUUUGUUGCCGCCUUGGCAGUGAUCGCUGAGCCGCUGUCCUGUAGUCGCAGGGCAGCCACGCUCCUUGUCGUGGAGGUGUGCAGGAGGUGUGACCGCCUGGCUCCUGUGGCGGUGGCCACAGCCUCCUCAGCCCCCUCAGCCCCAGUGUGUGGGACGGCGGCUGCCCUGCAUGCUGCCAGCUCCAGACACCAUCAGCCCGCGAACGCGAGCCGCUGCCUGUUGCUGCGACACAGACACAGUUGGCCACCUGCUGCAGUGUAGUGGAGCCUAAGGAUCCAGGCGGUAGCAGAAGCCGGCCAAGCACUCGCUGGGUUGUCCACCUCUUCCUUGAGUUGGUUUCAGUGUUUGUUUUUCUAACAAAUUGUCCCAAAGUUACCCAAUUUGGGAUGUACCGGGGUUUACAGCAUACUCAGUACUUUUUUCAGAUUCUCAUAUUUUCAGUCUCCUCCCUUUAGUGCCCUAGUCAACUGUGUUCAGAGAACCAGCUUUUGGUCACCAUUAAUUUCUUUCUUCCCUUACUGGCUGGUGGGCUGGGGAUCGAACUAGGGCCACACACCUGUUAGGCAGGCGCUCUGCUGCUGAGCUGCAUCCCAGCCCUGGUCUGAUUGAUGUUCUCCAUUGUUUUUCUCAUCUCUAUUUAGUGCAUUUCUGCUCUAUCUGUAUUAUUUCCCUGCCUUCUCACUUUCUUCACCUUUAUUGUGCUUCCUUUUUCAGUAUCUUAAAGUAGAAUACUAGGUGAUCCCUGUGAUGUGACCAAAACAAACAAAACCCUAGAUUUUGAAGGCUUGGUAUUUAAACUAUCUCACUAUUACAUACUGAUUAUAAUUCAUUGCACUUUAUACUUUUUACUGUGGAUACUCUGAGUCAGGAUUUCUUGUGUGCUUUGUAUUGGGCUUCUGUGGGGUGCUGGGCUAAGUUGUAUAGUAGGUACAGAAAGGAUGAGCUGAGCCAGAUCAGGUAGAGUGGCUGUCCCUGUUUAGAGUCUCAUGUUGGAGAGAGAAUUCCUCUCACCACUGCCAGCUGCAGUGAAAUUCAUUCACGGGCUUUUCUCUCCAGGCUAUUACCGGACUGAGACUGGGGCUUGCGAGAUGUGCCAGGAGGGUGUGGAUUACACCAACCAUUCCAACAACCUCUCUUCCUGCAUCCCCUGCAGCAUCUGUAGAAAUGGUACACAGCAAGCGGGCCCAGGGAGGGUGGUGGGCUGGGACUCGGAUUCCACGUGGACUCAGAAACCUCAAUUCCAGCCCAACUCGGUCUUCUUUCUGCCCUGCCCCAUGAUCAUCUUUGAUUCAAUGAAACACAAUUUUUUAAAAAUGGAAAUUUAACAUGUAAUGCAUGCCGCUUUAGAAGGUAGUCAUUUAAAACAGCAAUAGGGAGGAGUAGGAGAUUAAUCUGCCCCCUGUGGAGGGGCUCCUUCACCCCCUCAGAAGCAUUUUGGGGCAGUUGCUACUGCUGACACUGUCCCUUGAUUUGUAAACUUGGCAAACACUUGCUGAAUGUCUGCCCUGGGACAGGACAGGUACAGAGUGCACUGGGGCUGGCUAUGAGAGGACAUUUCCCUGGACGUGUCCUAAGAGGACUGAGCAGGUGACUCCAGCUACAAUAGAGAUAAGGACACUGGACUCCAUAGACCAGGGCACAUUUGAAAAGGAUGUUGAAGGACAGAUUCAAGGAUUCCAAGUGGUAGAUGGAGAACAUCUCUCCAUCCAGAGGUCCAGAACUGAAGGUUAGAGAACCUCAUGCAUUCAGGAGAAACGCCUGAUUCAGUUCUGGGUCUGCUCCAAGUCUCCUGUCCUCUGCUCGGGAUUUGGGGGUCCACUGACAGAUUUCAAGCCACCACCUGCUUUGUUUUUGACCAAGAUCCUUCUGAACAUACAGGGAAGGGCAG